AGAGACAAGCUUUCAGGGCACUAAGUGGGAUUACUGGGGCGAGUGACGUCAAGAAACUCCCUGUAUGACAGAGCAGAAUCCUCAUAAGAGCUCUACCGCGGCCAGAUACUGCAGGUACAAGUACUCAAGGCGGGCUGGAGCACAGGGUUCAUUCAGGGGCAGCAGAGAAACCCAAUCAAGAGAAUACACUUGAGACUGGAAAUUUUCUUUGGGGUAAUUACUCCCCUGAACUCUUAAGACUUCACAUUUUGUUUGCAUCUGAGGUCAAGUCAGAAAUGUUUCUACUUGGUGGCUUUGGUUCAGAAAAGCUAACUGUGUUGACCAACAUGAACACGUAGUCACCACAUUUAUCUGAUAGAAAUGACAGUCUCCUGUUGUAUGUGGGGGGGAAUGGGCGGGGCGGGUCAGAGGGGCUUCCUACAGGAAGCCCUCCAACCAGGAACAUCAGAGGAAAGAAUGAUGAAAUCUUAAUCUUCCAUGCCUAGGCAUUUAGAGCAAAGAAGUUUCAGGUCUUGCAAAUGCCUAACUAUAUAAAAUCUUCUCC